ACUCCUACGGGAGGCAGCAGUAGGGAAUAUUGGUCAAUGGGCGAAAGCCUGAACCAGCCAUGCCGCGUGUCAGAUGAAGGUCCUCUGGAUUAGUAAAUGUACUUUUCGUACGGGAAGAAUGAGCCGUCUGCGGACGGAAGUUGACGGUACCGUAGGAAUAAGCACCGGCUAACUACGUGCCAGCAGCCGCGGUAAUACGUAGGGUGCAAGCGUUGUCCGGAUUUACGUGGGUUUAAAAGGGUACGUAGGCGGUUGUGCCAAGUCUGGGGUGAAAGUUUGCAGCUCAACUGUAAAAUUGCCUUGGAUACUGGUCGGCUAGAGUAGUGGAGCGGUGGCUGGAAUUUAUAGUGUAGCGGUGAAAUGCUUAGAUACUAUGAGGAACACCAAUUGCGAAGGCAGGUCACUGGUCACUAACUGACGCUGAGGUACGAAAGUGUGGGAUCAAACAGGAUUAGAUACCCUGGUAGGAUAGCG
rnacentral:rRNA from 1 species